UACGUAGGGUCCGAGCGUUGUCCGGAAUUAUUGGGCGUAAAGAGCGCGCAGGCGGUCUGCCAAGUCAGAUGUGAAAGAGGCCGGCUUAACCGGCAAGGGUCAUUUGAAACUGACAGACUAGAGUGCAGCAGAGGAUAGCGGAAUUCCCGGUGUAGUGGUGAAAUACGUAGAUAUUGGGAAGAACACCAGUGGCGAAGGCGGCUAUCUGGACGGUUUCUGACACUAAGACUCGAAAGCGUGGGGAGCAAACAGG
rnacentral:rRNA from 1 species